rnacentral:tRNA from 2 species
GCCGGGAUAGCUCAGGGGUAGAGCAGGGCAUUCGUAAUGCUCAGGUUGAGGGUUCAAAUCCCUCUCCCGGCU